GACGAACGCUGGCGGCGUGCCUAACACAUGCAAGUCGAGCGAUGAAACCCUUCGGGGUGGAUUAGCGGCGGACGGGUGAGUAACACGUGGGUAACCUGCCUCAAAGAGGGGGAUAGCCGCCCGAAAGGGAGAUUAAUACCGCAUAACAUUAGUUUUUCGCAUGAAGAAUUAAUUAAAGGAGUAAUCCGCUUUGAGAUGGACCCGCGGCGCAUUAGCUAGUUGGUGAGGUAAAGGCUCACCAAGGCGACGAUGCGUAGCCGACCUGAGAGGGUGAUCGGCCACAUUGGAACUGAGACACGGUCCAGACUCCUACGGGAGGCAGCAGUGGGGAAUAUUGCACAAUGGGCGAAAGCCUGAUGCAGCAACGCCGCGUGAGUGAUGAAGGCCUUCGGGUUGUAAAGCUCUGUCUUUUGGGACGAUAAUGACGGUACCAAAGGAGGAAGCCACGGCUAACUACGUGCCAGCCGCCGCCGUAAAAC
rnacentral:rRNA from 1 species